rnacentral:tRNA from 1 species
CCGACCUUAGCUCAGUUGGUAGAGCGGAAGACUGUAGUCUGUGACAGGAAAUCUUUAGGUCGCUGGUUCGAUUCCGGCAGGUCGGA